rnacentral:rRNA from 1 species
AUGUUAUGUCACGAAGGGCAUCGACAUGCAUGGCGUCGAGAAAUGCUUACCGACUGUGGCCAUGGUGACGAUGGCGAGGUAGAGGGAGGUGAUGUAGCGGGUGAGCAGGUCGACCUUCCUGAAGUUGAUGUAGCUCUGGUCGCCCAUGGUGAGGCUCCCGAUCCAGGUGCCCCCCUCGCGCGCCGGAGGCAGCGUGGUGGCGAGGUAGUAGAAGACACAGGCGGCGGUGUGCGUGCAGUAGAGCUCCACGGUGGCCAGCUUCGCGAUCCGCGUGAAGAGGUAGCUGAUGCGGAUGUCCUUCUCCAUCUUCUUGAAGAAGCCCUGGAUCUUCCUCGCCCUGUACAGCCGCAGCCACACCAGACGGCGUCCCAUGGGAAGCAUCCGAGCAUGUCGAGAGCGAAGCUGCCCUUGAUGUAG